CCUACGGGUGACAGCAGUGAGGAAUAUUGGUCAAUGGCCGAGAGGCUGAACCAGCCAAGUCGCGUGAGGGAAGACGGCCCUACGGGUUGUAAACCUCUUUUGUCGGGGAGCAAAGCGAGCCACGUGUGGUUUAUUGAGAGUACCCGAAGAAAAAGCAUCGGCUAACUCCGUGCCAGCAGCCGCGGUAAUACGGAGGAUGCGCGCGUUAUCCGGAUUUAUUGGGGUUAAAGGGUGCGCAGGCGGAGUGGCAAGUCAGCGGUCACAUUGCGGGGCUCAACCCCGUACUGCCGUUGAAACUGCAUGCCUUGAGUGCGCGAGAAGGAAGCGGAAUGCGUGGGGUAGCGGUGAAAUGCAUAGAUAUUACGCAGAACUCCGAUUGGGAAGGCAGCAUACCGGCGCGCAACUGACGCUCAUGCACGAAAGCGUGGGGAUCGAACAGGAUUAGAUACCCCAGUAGUC
rnacentral:rRNA from 1 species